rnacentral:lncRNA from 1 species
CCUCACCGAAUGGGGAAUGCAGAAGAGUGUGACCCUCUAGCAAGAAAAGAACUGAGCCUCCAAAAGAAAUAACUUUGUUGGGGCCACGGGAACACUUGUGGCAGAGGUCAGCGAGGAACAUAAGCGUGAGCACAGGGUGUGCUCUUGAGUACAGCGAGGAGGAGGUCUUAUGCCUGCUAGAGAUCUGUGACUCGUUAUCCUUCUGGGCAAAGAGACAUUUUCUCCAUGGUCCGUCUGAGUCCACAGUGCCUCUCUUCAGGGCCGAGGUGUGGAAGCUUGGCCCCUGUAGGGACAUUGGAAGCGGAGGGCCUGAACCUACUGUCCUCAGGCAACAGGGUUGGGAAGCGCCAGAGGUCUGUCUGCCUGGUUCCUGGAGAGCCAGACCCAGAAGCUGUGCUCUUGAGCAAGAUGAGAAGCAAUUUCACACUACGAGGAGGUGCCUGGUCUGGGUCCUUCUGGGCAGGUCGUUCCCUUGUCCACGGUCAGUCUGAGGCCACUGCAGUAUGCGGCACUACUGCUUUGUGGUCGCUUCAGGCCCUGUCUCCUCUCCUGUGGGAAGGGAAAGGACAUCCGCCCCUACUGCCUUUGGUGAGACGCAUUGUGAGUGAAGGUCUGGUGGGUCAAACAUCUGCCCGCAUGCCGGUGUUCAACCGGGUGUUGAAGGCAGCGGUUCCUCUGCAUGAGCAUCUGGCCAGAAACGGCCAAGGCCAAGCGCCGAAGUUGGGGAAUUGCCCCACUCCCACGUUGUGAAGUGAGGUGACGGAUGGUGACGGUCGUGCCCAAGGACCCGGCCAGCAGCGCUUCCGCGGGCGUUCGCUCUUCACUCAGCAAAGUGAUGUCCAGGAGCUGUGGUGCAGCAAGAUGCGGGCGAGACUCUUUGCAGGCAGGUGCGUCCCUGUCAUGCAUUUUCCCAAGCUCAGGAGGGAAGGAGGAAAGAUACUUUGCCUUUGCGUGGAGCCACGUUUGAGAGGCCUCAGGGCCUUUGCCCACCUCAGGGCCAGCCCAGCAGGAAGUUCACAGGGGACACAGGGAGUGGUCCUCCAACCUCUGAAAAGAAAGAGGCUCUCUGGGAAAGCCUGUUGUCUCAAGAUGGCUCUGGGUGAUGCCUGCUCCAAGGACACACUGGAGAUGAUCCCUGAUUGACAGCUUCUCUGAGGAUGUGGAGGUGCUCACUCUCGCCCCCCUGAGGAAGCUGUAGGAACUCACCGGUGUGGCAGUUUCUACCACAUCCCGCCACCCCACCCCCCAGCACCCUUUAGGCUCCCAGGAUUGGCUGCUCCAGAGGUGCAGAAGAUGUCCUGGCCAAAGAGGAUCUUCUUCGGGGUCACCGCAUCCUAG